ACGACUGCUAAGACUGGAUAGGAGAUAAGAAGGCAUCUUUUUAUUUUUAAAAGACCUAGCAAUAGGUAUGCUUAGGGAAGAGCUUGCGUCACAUUAGUUAGUUGGUGGGGUAAUGGCCUACCAAGACGAUGAUGUGUAGCCGGGCUGAGAGGUCGAACGGCCACAUUGGGACUGAGACACGGCCCAAACUCCUACGGGAGGCAGCAGUAAGGAAUUUUCGGCAAUGGAGGAAACUCUGACCGAGCAAUGCCGCGUGAACGAUGAAGUAUUUCGGUACGUAAAGUUCUUUUAUUAGGGAAGAAAAGAUGGUGGAAAAACCAUUAUGACGGUACCUAAUGAAUAAGCCCCGGCUAACUAUGUGCCAGCAGCCGCGGUAAUACAUAGGGGGCAAGCGUUAUCCGGAAUUAUUGGGCGUAAAGGGUGCGUAGGUGGUUAAAUAAGUUUAUGGUCUAAGUGCAACGCUCAACGUUGUGAUGCUAUAAAAACUGUUUAGCUAGAGUUGGAUGGAGGCAAGUGGAAUUCCGUGUGUAGUGGUAAAAUGCGUAAAUAUACGGAGGAACACCAGAAGCGAAGGCGGCUUGCUGGGUCUUAACUGACGCUGAGGCACGAAAGCGUGGGGAGCAAACAGGAUUAGAUACCCUGGUAGUCCACGCCCUAAACGAUGAGUACUAAACGUUGGAUAAAACCAGUGUUGAAGUUAACACAUUAAGUACUCCGCCUGAGUAGUACGUACGCAAGUAUGAAACUUAAAGGAAUUGACGGGACUCCGCACAAGCGGUGGAUCAUGUUGUUUAAUUCGAAGGUACCCGAAAAACCUCACCAGGUCUUGAUAUGCUUUUGCAAAGCUGUAGAAAUACAGUGGAGGUUAUCAGAAGCACAGGUGGUGCAUGGUUGUCGUCAGCUCGUGUCGUGAGAUGUUGGGUUAAGUCCCGCAACGAGCGCAACCCUUGUUGUUAAUUGCCACCAUUAAGUUGGGGACUUUAGCAAGACUGCCAAUGAUAAAUUGGAGGAAGGUUGGGGACGACGUCAAAUCAUCAUGCCCCUUAUGACCUGGGCUACAAACGUGAUACAAUGGCUGUUACAAAGGGUAGCUAAAGCGUAAACUUCUGGCGAAUCUCAAAAAAGCAGUCUCAGUUCGGAUUGAAGUCUGCAACUCGACUUCAUGAAGUUGGAAUCGCUAGUAAUCGCGAAUCAGCAUGUCGCGGUGAAUACGUUCACGGGGUUUGUACACACCGCCCGUCA
rnacentral:rRNA from 1 species